GGACUUAACUUUCCGGCAAAGCGUCCCUAUAUCCCCUGGUGCCGGGUUCGCCCGGCUAUGGUGAUAAAUUGUGCCGUGUAAUAGAUGCAGCGGACCCGGGGGCGGUACCCGGCGGCUCCACCAUUUGCCCCGCUUCGGCAGGGCACAUGACGGGGCCGAAACAGCAUCGACGUGCGUUGAAAGACGGUAUUUUCUCCCGGCCUGAAUGAGCCGUAAAACCGUUCAAAACCUAUAAGUGCCAACGAUAACGAAGCACUUGCUCUUGCUGCGUAACUGAGGGCCUUCGUGGCCUGACGUUAUCCAAAUAGAACACGGCGGGGACUGCGCCGGGUAACAGAAGCAGAAACCGGCGGCCCGGGGGUGCCGAGCAACAGAAACCCCCACC
rnacentral:tmRNA from 1 species